AGAGUUUGAUCAUGGCUCAGAACGAACGCUGGCGGCGUGGAUUAGGCAUGCAAGUCGAACGAUCUCUUUCGCAAGAGGGGGAUAGUGGCAAACGGGUGCGUAACACGUGGGUAAUUUGCCUUUAGGUUCGGGAUAACUUGUCGAAAGACGGGCUAAGACCGGAUAAGACCACAACUUCUAAUGAAGAAGGGGUUAAAGAAGGGGAUCCCGAAAAUGGACCUUUCACCUUUAGAUAAGCCCGCGGCCUAUCAGCUUGUUGGUGAGGUAACGGCCCACCAAGGCUAUGACGGGUAGCUGGUCUGAGAGGAUGGUCAGCCACACUGGGACUGAGACACUGCCCAGACUCCUACGGGAGGCUGCAGUCGAGGAUCUUUUGCAAUGCCCGCAAGGGUGACAAUGCGACGCCGCGUGAGCGAUGAAGGCCUUCGGGUUGUAAAGCUCUGUCAGCCGGGAAGAAUGUGAACGUGUCAAUACCACGUUUAUGCGACGGUACCGGCAAAGGAAGCCACGGCUAACUCCGUGCCAGCAGCCGCGGUAAUACGGAGGUGGCAAGCGUUGUUCGGAUUUACUGGGUGUAAAGGAUAUGUAGGCGUCUUACUAAGUCGGGUGUGAAAUCCCUUGGCUCAACCAAGGAACUGCGCCCGAUACUGGUAGGAUUGAGUACGGGAGAGGUAAGCGGAAUUCCGGAAGUAAGGGUGAAAUCUGUAGAUAUCCGGAGGAACACCAUUAGCGAAGGCGGCUUACUGGUCCGAUACUGACGCUGAAAUAUGAAAGCUAGGGGAGCAAACAGGAUUAGAUACCCUGGUAGUCCUAGCCGUAAACGAUGUGCACUAGGUGCUGGCCCUUCGGGGUCGGUGUCGGAGCUAACGCGUUAAGUGCACCACCUGGGGACUACGGCCGCAAGACUAAAACUCAAAUGAAUUGACGG
rnacentral:rRNA from 1 species